AGAACGAACGCUGGCGGCAUGCCUAACACAUGCAAGUCGAACGAGAUCUUCGGGUCUAGUGGCGCACGGGUGCGUAACGCGUGGGAAUCUGCCCUUAGGUUCGGAAUAACAGUUAGAAAUGACUGCUAAUACCGGAUAAUGACGUAAGUCCAAAGAUUUAUCGCCUAGGGAUGAGCCCGCGUAAGAUUAGCUAGUUGGUGGGGUAAAGGCCUACCAAGGCUACGAUCUUUAGCUGGUCUGAGAGGAUGAUCAGCCACACUGGGACUGAGACACGGCCCAGACUCCUACGGGAGGCAGCAGUGGGGAAUAUUGGACAAUGGGCGAAAGCCUGAUCCAGCAAUGCCGCGUGAGUGAUGAAGGCCUUAGGGUUGUAAAGCUCUUUUACCCGGGAUGAUAAUGACAGUACCGGGAGAAUAAGCUCCGGCUAACUCCGUGCCAGCAGCCGC
rnacentral:rRNA from 1 species